CCUGGCUCAGAAUGAACGCUAGAAGUAUGCAUAACACAUGCAAGUUGAACAAAUAUAUUUAUAUAAGUAGCGAACGGGUGCGUAAUAUACAAGAAUUUACCUUUUAAUUUGGGAUAACUAAGUAAUAUUAGCUAAUACCAAAUGCUUUGCUUUUCUUUAAAGCAAAUAAAGAUUGUAUCGUUAAGAGAUAAGCUUGUAUAGGAUUAGGUAGUUGGUAAGGUAAAGGCUUACCAAGCCAAUGAUCCUUAGCUAAUCUGGGAGGAUGAAUAGCCACACUGAAACUGAGACAAGGUUCAGACUUCUACGGAAGGCAGCAGUGUGGAAUAUUGGACAAUGGGCGAAAGCUUGAUCCAGCAAUACUUCGUGUGUGAUCAGAAGAAUAGGAGACUAUUUGUAAAGCACUAUCAGUAAAGACGAAAUUGACUGUAUUUACAGAAGAAGCUCCGGCAAAUUUCGUGCCAGCAGCCGCGGUAAUACGAAAGGAGCAGGUGUUAUUCAGAUUAACUGGGCGUAAAGGGUACGUAGGUGGUUUGUUAUGUGUACUAUAAAAUUAUAAAGCAUAACUUUAUACUGUAGUAUAGACAACUAAACUAGAGUUAGGUAGAGGGUAGUAGAAUUUCUAGUGUAAAGGUGAAAUUUGAUAAAUUUAGAGAGAAUACCAAUGGCGUAGGCAACU
rnacentral:rRNA from 1 species